ACGAACGCUGGCGGCGUGCUUAACACAUGCCAGUCGAACGGAAAGGCCCUGCUUUUGUGGGGUGCUCGCGUGGCGAACGGGUGAGUAACACGUGAGUAACCUGCCCUUGACUUUGGGAUAACUUCAGGAAACUGGGGCUAAUACCGGAUAGGAGCUCCUGCGGCAUGGUGGGGGUUGGAAAGUUUCGGCGGUUGGGGAUGGACUCGCGGCUUAUCAGCUUGUUGGUGGGGUAGUGGCUUACCAAGGCUUUGACGGGUAGCCGGCCUGAGAGGGUGACCGGCCACAUUGGGACUGAGAUACGGCCCAGACUCCUACGGGAGGCAGCAGUGGGGAAUAUUGCACAAUGGGCGGAAGCCUGAUGCAGCAACGCCGCGUGCGGGAUGACGGCCUUCGGGUUGUAAACCGCUUUCGCCUGUGACGAAGCGUGAGUGACGGUAAUGGGUAAAGAAGCACCGGCUAACUACGUG
rnacentral:rRNA from 1 species